AGGAAAGCCAGGAGGCCAUGGGAGUUUAGAGAAUUUUCACAGAAAAUACAGAGAACUUGGAGUUCAGGGAAUUUUGUUCAUGGCUCACCUGGAAUCCCACAGACCACUUAGGAAAGAGGUUGGGAAUUGGAGGCAAAAGAAUGGUAGUAAAAAUAGGAGGUAAAAAAAAACAUGUAUGCACUGCAGGACCAAAUACAAUCUUGGGGGGAUCCCCCCAUGUAUCCUGUCCCACAGAGUCCCACAGAGUCCCACAGGCCAAGCUGCCAUUCUACAUGUUGUAAUUUUACUCUUUACUGAUUGAAAAUUUCCUGAAGUACGGCUCUCUAACUUACAUUUCAGCCUGUGAAGAGUUUUAAGGAGUUUAGAAGCUUCACACUGUCGUGUUUUGUUUUGUUUUUAAUCUUAUGAGAGGGUGUCAUUAAGUAGUCCAGGGUAGCCCGGAACUCCUAGAAAUUUUGUUGCCUCAAUUUCCAGGUGUUUGACUUAAUGGUCAGUGUGAUUAGCUUCCGUCCAAACUUCUCAGGAAAUGCCACUAAUAAUUUUGAACCACAUAUUCCGGGAGGGAUAGCUCAGGACUUAAGUGCACCGAUCCCGUAGUUUACAGAGGUCCCUAAUCCUAAUUCUAGGGCAUCUAACACCUUCUUUUGGCCUCCAUGGGCACCAGGCACACAUGUGAUGCAUAAACACACAUGUAGGCAAAACAUUCACAUACAUAAAUCUUUUUUUAGAGUGUAUCUGUACAUCCUUUAAUUUUAUCCUAACCAAAAUUAAAGAAGAAUUGCACACAGAGAGGACAAGAAAGAAGGCAAAUGCAAGGAAAUUUGGUAGGCUUUGAAACAAUGAAACAAGAAAAAAGAGGAUUCAUAAAACUGAGAAAGCCAAGCCUCAGUGCAGGAAAACCAAGGACCCACUGGACUUUCACUGGAAUCCUCAGAAACCUGAGAAACCUGAGCUACACUGACAGGCCUCUGACACUGGAGGCCAAUGAGAAGUGUACAUUCUUGAUCACCAGCUCCUCUCCAGUAGCAAACUAUACUUUUCAGAUACAAUGUGUCCUUAAAGUCACCCCUCCCCUGAGAAAACCUUUAUUGAGAAACAAAUAAAACAAAAUGUGGAAUGCUGGGAGCAUCCUCAUAGAAGCAGGGGGAAGGGGAGGGGUGUGGGAGAUUGAGGAAAGGGGAUAACAUUGGAAAUGUAAAUAUAAAAUAUCCGAGAAAAAUAAAAUUAAAAAAUCAUCAUUAUUGAUAAGGUUGUGCCAAAGCUGCAUUUAAUACAGCUAAUGAACUAACCUCCUACCUCAGAUUAGCUGUAUUAAACAUGCUCAGAGAACUUGUAUUGAGUUAUAACUGGGUAAAAUCAUGCAAGAGAUGGUCUACUUUGUAUUAAAGUAUGGGAUGUUUUAUAUAUUUACUUAAAUACUAAAAUUACAGAUUCAUUAUCAUAAUGGCCAAAUUCUUAAUUUGAACCACUGUAAGUUUGUGACUUUUUGUAUAGUGCUCAAUUUUACCUGCUGAUUUAGGAAUUCCGGAGGUCUGAGAAUUUUCAAACAAUUGGGAGAGACCAGUUGGAGAUCAGAGUUUUUGACAUUGUUGAGUUUACUUAAAUGGUGGGACACACUUUGGCCAUUUAACCAUAAAGAUUAAGUUAAGGCCAGGGCAAGUCUCCCCAUUGUGGCCACCUAAGUAUGAACUGAGCAAGGCUGACCCUGGUAGGCAUGCCAUACUGGGUGGGGAAAACCCCACGAGGCCUUAGCCCUACACAAGGAACUGCAGAAAGCUGGGAGUGAAAGAGUUGGUUUUUCCCAAAGAAGAGCGCACCAAUUGUUCACUAACGUGCCAAAGGGUCAGCCAUGAACACAUACACACAAGUGACAUAAUAUGUACUCAAAAAAAUGUGGACUGCAAGCAAUGGAAAACAGGGACAGACUAAUGAAGACAACUGCCAAGACGAUGCCGAAGGCCGUUUCUAGAAUGGCCAGUGUGGACUGGCUCUGCACGUUGACCAGUUCAGACUGGAGCAGGCCCAUCCAAGAAAGAAUCUAGAUGAGCGCAUUUUCUCCCAGAUCCCACUGCCUCCUCCCUUUCUUUUCACAGAGAAGAGAAUUCUCCCAGGAGCCAGGACCGGAUCUAUGGCUUCUGUUUCCUUCCUUUGUGUUCUGCUGCUUCACUCCGCAGUGUUUCCUGGAUCGCCCCUGAAAGCCUGAGGCAGCUGUAGAAGGUUUAGGAAUCGAAAGCGUCAGACAAUCCAUUCUCUAAGCAUCGUUUUACCAAAUAGUUAUACUUUGGUCAGUUGCUCCAAAUACCACAGCCUUGUGCCUCCCUGGACAACUUCAGACCCUGCACACCGACUUCCCUGGAAAGAUACUCAUGCAAUCCGAAGUCAAAUCGUGGCCCACAGGCACUGAUAGGUGCAAUUUCUCGGAGAACCUCUAUGUCCGUGGUUCCCAACCCUCUGUAGGUCGAAGAAACGCUUUCACAGGGGGUGCCUAAAACCAUCAGAAAACACAGCGAUUUACACUACAAUACAUCAAGCUUCGAAAUCACAGCAAGAAUAGCCAGGACGAUAGACAAAGCUGGGUGUUCAUGGACAUUCGUCCUUGUUUGGAGCAAUGGACACGCCAUCAGAAAUAGGAAACGACAUACGACAAGUGCAGCACUAGGUGCAAGAGCGCAUGGUAGCUUGCUGCCAGGAAUGAGGUACCACGACUUGGAAAGCAGCGGCAAUCCCUUCCGCCAUGGCUUGUCCUGAAACUCCAGCCAAUGGUUUAGAGAAUGUCUGGAAGAUUUUAUCCCGAGGGGCAAAUUCCCGUGCACAUCUUGUAAAUGAUAUUUGGUCAUGGUACAGUUGUAAAGGCCUUGUUUAAAUCAAGCAGAGGUCAUGCAAUAACUAGUGAUGUAAAAGCUAACUGCUUUUGUAAAUCUAAGACCUGUUGCCCCAACCAUGAGACUCCUGAUUGCAAACAUCCUGUAAUUUGGGUUCCGGUUGUCCAUCAAUAUGUGUUUGAUGUGUAAAUGGU